GAUGAACGCUGACAGAAUGCUUAACACAUGCAAGUCAACUGUGGCGGACGGGUGAGUAACGCGUAAAGAUCUUGCAUCACAGCUAGGGACAACAUCUGGAAACGAAAGAUAAUACCUGAUACUGUGAGUGAGCUUUGCGUCCCAUUAGCUAGUGGGAGAGGUAACGGCUCACCAAGGCGAUGAUGGGUAGCCGGCCUGGGAGGGUGAUCGGCCACAAGGGGACUGAGACACGGCCCUUACUCCUACGGGGGGCAGCAGUGGGGAAUAUUGGACAAUGGACCAAAGUCUGAUCCAGCAAUUCGGUGUGCACGAUGAAGUUUUCUGAAUGUAAAGUGCUUUCAGUUGGGAAGCGGUACCAACAGAAGAAGUGACGGCUAAAUACGUGCCAGCAGCCGCGGUAAUUC
rnacentral:rRNA from 1 species